UACAGAGGGUGCGAGCGUUAAUCGGAAUUACUGGGCGUAAAGCGUGCGUAGACGGUAGCGUAAGUCAGAUGUGAAAGCCCCGGGCUCAACCUGGGAAUUGCAUUUGAGACUGCUCUGCUCGGGUGCGGAAGAGGGAAGCGGAAUUUCCGGUGUAGCGGUGAAAUGCGUAGAUAUCGGAAGGAACACCAGUGGCGAAAGCGGCUCACUGGACCAUUACUGACGCUGAUGCACGAAAGCUAGGGGAGCAAACAGG
rnacentral:rRNA from 1 species